rnacentral:rRNA from 1 species
UCGGAAAGAAAGAUGUGAAAUCCCAGGGCUUAACCUUGGAACUGCAUUUUUAACUACCGGGCUAGAGUGUGUCAGAGGGAGGUGGAAUUCCGCGUGUAGCAGUGAAAUGCGUAGAUAUGCGGAGGAACACCGAUGGCGAAGGCAGCCUCCUGGGAUAACACUGACGCUCAUGCACGAAAGUGUGGGGAGCAAACAGGAUUAGAUACCCUGGUAGUCCACGCCCUAAACGAUGUCAACUAGCUGUUGGGGCCUUCGGGCCUUGGUAGCGCAGCUAACGCGUGAAGUUGACCGCCUGGGGAGUACGGUCGCAAGAUUAAAACUCAAAGGAAUUGACGGGGACCCGCACAAGCGGUGGAUGAUGUGGAUUAAUUCGAUGCAACGCGAAAAACCUUACCUACCCUUGACAUGUCUGGAAUCCCGAAGAGAUUUGGGAGUGCUCGCAAGAGAACCGGAACACAGGUGCUGCCAUGGCUGUCGUCAGCUCGUGUCGUGAGAUGUUGGGUUAAGUCCCGCAACGAGCGCAACCCUUGUCAUUAGUUGCUACGAAAGGGCACUCUAAUGAGACUGCCGGUGACAAACCGGAGGAAGGUGGGGAUGACGUCAAGUCCUCAUGGCCCUUAUGGGUAGGGCUUCACACGUCAUACAAUGGUCGGGACAGAGGGUUGCCAACCCGCGAGGGGGAGCCAAUCCCAGAAACCCGGUCGUAGUCCGGAUCGCAGUCUGCAACUCGACUGCGUGAAGUCGGAAUCGCUAGUAAUCGCGGAUCAGCAUGUCGCGGUGAAUACGUUCCCGGGUCUUGUACACACCGCCCGUCACACCAUGGGGAGUGGGUUUUACCAGAAGUAGUUAGCCUAACCGCAAGGGGGGCGAUUACCACGGUAGGAUUCAUGACUGGGGUGAAGUCGUAACAAGGUAGCCGUAUCGGAAGGUGCGGCUGGAUCACCUCCUUUAAGAGCUUGAGUGCUCGUGUCAAGUGUCCACGCUUAUCGGUUGU